UCCACGCUUAUUCUGGUGUGUUUUGUUCUGUUCUCAUUCUGUGAUUGUGCUUUUGCUAAGUAAGAUGGCAGCAUCUGCAGAUAACACCCACGAUGUUGUGUCCCUCCUCUCUUCACCCCAAAGGGACUUUCUUCUAAGGAACAACGGCGAUCAGGUAACACCUUCCAAACUCUUGUUAAAUUCAGGCAUAUCUUCAAAACAAAGUGUUUGGAUUAAUUUUUUUUUGUGAAGAUUUGAUCCAUUGCACAAUAGGAAAAAAAAUAGUAUAUGUUACAUGAAUCAACAACAAUAUUUUCUUUACCAACCUUUCUUUUUAGGAUGACAAUAAAAUAUAUAAUUUUCAUAUAUAAUAAGUUGUAAAAUCUUAUUUUUUUAUAAAAAAUCAAGAUAUGAGAAGAGAUAAGAAGAAGUGAAUAAAAAAAUUUAUUUAUCUUUAUACUAAGAGUACCGAUAUUUUGAAAAGG
rnacentral:lncRNA from 1 species